UGGGGAGCGCUACCCUCACCCCCACCCCCCACCCCGGACUGUAGCCGCGGCUCCCGAUGGUGGCCUGGGACACCUAGGGAUUUUCCCUCGGGCUGGGGACCCGACCACCUGGUGGCGUAAGAUGCCCCGGGGCCGUGUCACUGCACCCCUUCCUAGUCCCGGAAAGAAGAUCGUAUUUCCUAGCGUGCUCCAGCCGUCUGCGUUACCCCGGAAUCCCAGGCCGCGGCGGGGAGGGCGAGCGGCCCCACCCCUUCCCUGCGCCCAUUCCCACGUUCCGGGAGGACUGAGCCGAGCUACUGCAGUGCUGUGACAUGAAUGAUGCGGGAUGUAUGUGAACCUCUGGAACUGUCCAGGUGGUCCCGGGCGGUGAAGGGGUCCCCAGCGCCAGGAGGAGAAGCCCUUCUGGACUACCGGGCUUUUCUGCUCUUGGAGGGAGGGACCGACUUCGCUGCUGUUACUCGGGAGAGACAACGUGUGCAGAAACCGAAGUAGAAACUGCUCUCUAACUUUUUCUCUGGGAACGGUUGACGCAAUUGUUAUCUCCAGUGGGAACGUGAAAGAUGUCUCUCCCUCAUCUGUUGUCUUUGAGCAGCAAGGGAUGAUCUUUAUAAGCAUUUUAAAAAUAGAAACAUGGAACCACUCCCGCCUCCACCCCUUUGAAUGAGCUCAUUAAAACCACACCUCAUCUUCUGGGAACUAAGUAUUAGCCUUGUACUUCCUACAGAGAAGACUCCCAAAUACAGCUGCAUUUUAAGGAGCCCGUGAAAUGGCUGCUCCAGAAGGUUCUGAUUGGCUGUUAAUGACUUCUAGGAUGGUAGAAUUCCUCUGGUGGGGUGAAUUGAGAGGAAGUAUUCUAUUAAAAAAAAGAUUUUUUUUUUUAAGUCGAAUAAAGAUUGGAUCUGGUGUCCUGGAAGAGACUGAAGACAGAGAACAAUGGAAUGGAAAGAAAAAGUUUGCAGACUCCUUGCAUUUUACUUGGUCAGGACUUGGUUACACGGUCUUGCAAAAGCAAUCCUGCUUUUUUAGGAGCUUGCUAGCCAAGUGAGGUUUAAACUUGACAAGAAGAAACCACCUGACCCAAUGUGUGCACAACCCAUAGGAGAGUUACCCAAGAAACCAUCAUGAGGUUCAUUACAAAACAGGUCUUUUGAAGCUGUUUGGCAGCCAACAAAAUGCACUUUAAAAUUGAGUUUAAAACUGUUACAGUUUACUUGACGCUUUCUCCACUUACAGGUCGGGACAAUAAUGGGUUUGUAAUCUGCAAUUUGCAAAUCAGAACUCAUUUACUCAUGGAAACAAAAUGAUUAACUAUGGGUAGAUCAGCAGUCAGAGCAUUGACCUUAGGUAACUCCAAUGGGGCUCUCUACUAAUAAACAGAAUAUACGACACUGCUUUCCAACAUUUUGCAUAUUCAUAAAGUAUAAUGAUUAGAGAAUACUGGAAUUAACUGGAAUAAGUUGGGGGAUAUCUAUAGAUCACUUGGUGAAAAAUGUGUUUCAUUUUCUUAAAUUAUAAUAACAGCAAAAUACAAAGUAUUUGAAGAUAAUUUGUGAAUUUGAAUAAAGCUUUGAAUAAUA